AAGUCGUAACAAGGUUUCCGUAGGUGAACCUGCGGAAGGAUCAUUAAAAAAAAUGAAGUUGGGAUUUUUUAAUCUCGAACUAUCUGAACAAUGUGGUAUUAAUGAAAUUUGAAUUGGGCUUAAAAAUGGUGUUUUCGUAAGAGAAUAUCGGCUCAAACAACUUUAUAAACUCUAUUAUUAUUUGACUGAAUUAUCAAGUAAAAUUAAUCCGAAUGGGAUUAAAAAAAGUUUAAAUAACUUUCAACAACGGAUCUCUUGGUUCUC
rnacentral:misc_RNA from 1 species